rnacentral:rRNA from 1 species
UACGAGGGGGGCAAAUGUUGUUCGGAAUCACUGGGCGUAAAGGGAGCGUAGGCGGGUUCUUAAGUAAGGUGUUUAAUCCCGGGGCCCAACCCCGGACCGGCACUUUAAACUGGGAAUCUUGAAUAGUGGAGAGGUCGGUGGAAUUGGAGGUGUAGCGAUGGAAUGCGUAGAGAUCUCCAAGAACACCAGUUGCGAAGGCGGCCGACUGGACACAUAUUGACGCUGAGGCUCGAAAGCAUGGGGAGCAAACAGG